GAUGAACGCUGGCGGCGUGCCUAAUACAUGCAAGUCGAGCGAACAGACGAGGAGCUUGCUCCUCUGACGUUAUCGGCGGACGGGUGAGUAACACGUGGAUAACCUACCUAUAAGACUGGGAUAACUUCGGGAAACCGGAGCUAAUACCGGAUAAUAUAUUGAACCGCAUGGUUCAAUAGUGAAAGACGGUUUUGCUGUCACUUAUAGAUGGAUCCGCGCCGCAUUAGCUAGUUGGUAAGGUAACGGCUUACCAAGGCAACGAUGCGUAGCCGACCUGAGCGGGUGAUCGGCCACACUGGAACUGAGACACGGUCCAGACUCCUACGGGAGGCAGCAGUAGGGAAUCUUCCGCAAUGGGCGAAAGCUUGACGGAGCAACGCCGCGUGAGUGAUGAAGGUCUUCGGAUCGUAAAACUCUGUUAUUAGGGAAGAACAAAUGUGUAAGUAACUAUGCACGUCUUGACGGUACCUAAUCAGAAAGCCACGGCUAACUACGUG
rnacentral:rRNA from 1 species